AGGUGGGUAGGGGGAUGGGGUAAUUGGGUAAUGGUUUCUAAGGAGGGCACAUCAUGUGAUGAGCACUGGGUGUUAUAUGCAACUGAUAAAUUAUUGAACAAUACAUCUGAAACUAAGGAUGUACUAUUUUGACUAACGGAAUUUAAAUUAGAAAAAAAGAUACUAUAAACAAGUAUCUGCCAAUGAACUGGAUAAUCUGGAGAAAAUGCAUAAAUUUCCAGAAACAUAUGACCUAUAAAAACUGAUCAUAAACAAACAGAAAAUCUGAACUGACCAAUAAUGUUUAAGGAGAUUAAUUUAGUAAUUAAAAAACUUUGGACACAAGGAAGCCCAGUAACAGGUCUUUUCACUGCUAAAUUCUACCAAACAUUUAAAGAAUUAGUACUCAUUUUUGUCAAGUUCUAACAAAAAUAGAGAGGGAACACUCCCAAAUUCAUUUUAUGAGGCCAGCAUUACCCUGAUACUAAACCACAUAAGAACAUUAGAAAGAAAAUCAUAGACCAAUAAUCCUGAUGAUCAUAGAUGCACAAAUCCUCAACAAAAUAUUAGCAAACUGAAGGGUACUUGGCUGGCUUAGUCAGAGGAGCAUGAAAUUCUUGAUCUUGGGGUCAUGAGUUCAAGCCCCACGUAGGUUGUAGAGAUUACCUAAAUAAGUAAAAACUUUUAAAAAAUUAGCAAACUGAAUUCAAUAGUAUUUUAAAAGGUUUACACAUUGUGAUCAAGUGGAAUUUAUCCCAAGCAUGCAAAGGUUCAAUAUCCAUAAAUCCAUCAAUGCUUACACCACAUUAACAAAGUGAAGGAUUAAAAUCAUAUGAUAAUCUCAAUAGAUGCAGAAAAAGCAUUUGAGAAAAUUUUAUAUCUGUUUAUGACAAAAAGUUUCAACAAAGUGGGUACAGAGGGAAUGUACCUCAAUAUAAUAAAGGACAUAGAUGACAAGUCUACAGCUAACAUCAUACUAAACACUGAAAAGCUAAAAGCUUUUUUCUAAGAUUAGGAACAAGACAGAUGUCUGCUCUCACCACAUUUAUUCAACAUAUUUCUGUAAGUCCUAGCCAGAGAGAUUAGGCAAGAAAAAGAAAUAAAAGGCAUCCAAAUUGGAAAGGAAGGUCACUAUAUGUUGAUGACCUGGUAUAUAUAGAAAACUCUAAAGACUCCACUGAAAAACUGUUACAACUAAUAAAUGAAUUCAAUAAAGUUGCAGAAUACAAAAUUAAUAUACAAAAUUAGUUGUGUUUCUAUACACUAAUAAUGAAGUAUCAGAGAAAGAAAACAAUUGCAUCGAAAAUGCCUAAAAAUAUAAACUUAAUGAAGUGGGUUAAAGACCAGUACAUUUAAAUCUGUAAGAUGUGGAAUAAAGAAAUCAAAAAGAUACAUAAAUGGGAAAAUAUUCCAUAGUUAUGGAUUGGAAGAAUUCAUAUUGUUAAAAUGCUCAUUUACCAAAGCAAUCUACAGAUUCAAUGCAAUCCUGUCAAUAUUACAAUGACUUUUUUCAUGGAAAUAGAAUAAACAAUCCUAAAGUACUAAUGGAGCUACAGACCUCGAAUAGUCAAAAGAAUCUUAAGAAAGAAUAAAGCUAGAGGCAUUAUGCUUCCUGAUUUCAAAUUCAAUUAAAAAGUUACAGUAAUUAAAACAGUAUGGUAUUGGCAUAAAAGCAGACAUUUAGAUCAAUGGAACAGAAUAGAGAGCACAGAAGUAAACCCAUGCAUAUGUGGUCAAUUAAUUUUUCACAAAGGGGCCAAGGUUAUACAAUAGGGAAUGGACACUCUCUUCAAUAAAUGGUGUAGGGAAAACUCAACAGCCACAUGCCAAAAAAUGAAACUGACACUAUCAUACACCAGACACAAAAAACCAACUCAAAAUGGAUUAAAUAUUUGAACAUGAGAUGUGGAAACAUACAACUCCUAAUAGGAAACAUAGGUGGUAAGCUCCUGGACUUGGUGAUGAUUCUUUGGAUUUGACACCCAAAGCAGGGGCAACAAUACCAAUAAUAAACAAGCAGGACUAUAUCAAACUAAAUAGCUCCUGUACAGCAAAGGAAACCAUAAACAAAAUGAAAAGGCAAUCUACCAAAUUUCUAGCAAUGAUGUUUGUGUAACUUCAGCAGCAGUUACAUAAUUUUCCAAUACCUAGGGACUCCCCUUAUGAUAGCUAACUGGAGGUUUCUUAAGUUUUAAAACAAAUUGGAGUAUAAAGGCAAUCAUUUUAAUUUUUUUUAUUGGAGUUUGAUUAAUAUUCUGUUCAACUGAUGUGGCCUUGGAAUAAAGCAGUGAGGAUGGUAUGGUUCAUUUGCCAGGAUCUACAUAUUUUAUCUUCUUUAAUUCUCUCACUUAUGAACAUCCUGGCUAGGAUUCCUCCUUGAAUCUUACAUGAGGAACACACACCAUAUUCUUGCCCUUCCAUCUGUGCUCCUGUCAAGGUGUAGCUUAUCACCAAAAAAACCCACAAAAAACCAAAAAUACAAAAAACCAAAAAACUCAGCUACUUCAACAAUAGGUGAAGAGUAAGUAAGAAUGUAGAGAGUUGGGGUUUUUAUUCUGAGAAGUAUAUUAUACCAUCUGUGGGUGGACAUAGCUGCAAAAUGGGCUGUUACUUGAAGCAUUUUUUAUGCCCUCAUUAUAACUAGAUUUGUAUUUUCCCCAGUGACUCUGGGGUUCAAGAUACACUAAUUAGAUUUGGACAAGUACAGAGUAUUAAUUCAGAUGAACUAUUUAAUCUCAUUUCAGAAUGUUUCCAUCACAAGACAAAUACUUAGCCAAAGCAGCAUCUUUCAAAUUUCUUAGUCUUGACUUACGAAAAUAUUCAAAGAAACCACUUUGUCUUUAUUUUUUUCUUCCCAGGAAUGAAGCAGUACAGUCGUGAGGACAGUGAACAGCAUCAUUAGUCUGGGAAGAUGAUUCCACUCAGUCCUAAAUUGGAGCAGGUGGCUAUAAGAGGACCCUGUCAGAGCCUACUCAUAUCCCACAGACACCUUUCAUUUCUGUGUGCUCCAGCCCAACUUCUAACCAAACACCAGCCCCACAACUCUUCCUGAGGGCUGCUUCUGGCAGCUGCAGCCUGCUCUGAUGUGCAUGGGACAGGCCAGUUGUAGAAGAAUUAUGUCAUCAAACAAUGAAUACCACAGAUCUUUUACUCCUCAGGCUUCACACCCAGCAUGGAGCCCAAUGUGGGGCUUGAACUUUCGACCUAGAGAUCAAGACCUGAGCUGAGAUCAAGAGUCAUAUGCUUAACCAGCUGAGCCAGCCAGGCACCCCAUCCAUGCAUCCUUCUAAAUGUAAGUUCUUUCAGUCAUCAGUGUUAUGUCUUGACUCUAGAAUAACUACAGAAGGAAGAAAAAGGGGGCAACUAGAGAUUAUAGCUAGUAAUUCUUAGCAAGGACUCAUUACAUCAUGGAAUUCCAUAUUUUCUUUUGCAUCUGUUUAUUUUGAAAAAUUUUAAGCACCAAAAAGUUGAAAGAAUACUUCAGUGAAUACCCAUACACCCUCUACUUAUAUGCAACAAUUGUUAACAUUUUGUCAUAUUUUCCUUAUUUCUUCUAUAUUGAAUUUGUGGUGGAACCAUUUGAAAGUAAGCUGCAGAUAUCAUAAAUCACUCCUAUAUACAUCAGCAUGAAUCACUUUAAGAAUAAGAACAUUCUCAGGGCACCUGGGUGGCUCAGUUGGUUAAGCGACUGCCUUCGGCUCAGGUCAUGAUCAUGGAGUCCCUGGAUCGAGUCCCGCAUCGGGCUCCCUGCUCGUCAGGGAGUCUGCUUCUCCCUCUGACCCUCCCCCCUCUC